GCGUUUAUAGCUCAGUUGGUUAGAGCACCACCUUGACAUGGUGGGGGUCGUUGGUUCGAGUCCAUUUAGACGCACCA
rnacentral:tRNA from 1 species